rnacentral:rRNA from 1 species
GAGUUUGAUCAUGGCUCAGGAUGAACGCUGGCGGUCUGCUUAACACAUGCAAGUCGAACGGACUCUUCGGAGUUAGUGGCGGACGGGUGAGUAACGCGUGAGAAUCUGCCUCUAGGACGGGGACAACAGAGGGAAACUUCUGCUAAUCCCGGAUGAGCCGGAAGGUCAAAGAUUUAUCGCCUAGAGAUGAGCUCGCGUCUGAUUAGCUAGUUGGUGGGGUAAAAGCUUACCAAGGCAACGAUCAGUAGCUGGUCUGAGAGGAUGAUCAGCCACACUGGGACUGAGACACGGCCCAGACUCCUACGGGAGGCAGCAGUGGGGAAUUUUCCGCAAUGGGCGCAAGCCUGACGGAGCAAGACCGCGUGGGGGAGGAAAGCCUUUGGGUUGUAAACCCCUUUUCUCAGGGAAGAAGCAAGUGACGGUACCUGAGGAAUCAGCCUCGGCUAACUCCGUGCCAGCAGCCGCGGUAAUACGGAGGAGGCAAGCGUUAUCCGGAAUGAUUGGGCGUAAAGCGUUCGUAGGUGGCAACUCAAGUCUGCUGUCAAAGACCGGAGCUCAACUCCGGAAAGGCAGUGGAAACUGAGUAGCUUGAGUGCGGUAGGGGCAGAGGGAAUUCCCGGUGUAGCGGUGAAAUGCGUAGAGAUCGGGAAGAACACCGGUGGCGAAAGCGCUCUGCUGGGCCGCAACUGACACUGAGGGACGAAAGCUAGGGGAGCGAAUGGGAUUAGAUACCCCAGUAGUCCUAGCUGUAAACGAUGAAACUAGGUGUUGCCUGUAUCGACCCAGGCAGUGCCGUAGCUAACGCGUUAAGUUUCCCGCCUGGGGAGUACGCACGCAAGUGUGAAACUCAAAGGAAUUGACGGGGGCCCGCACAAGCGGUGGAGUAUGUGGUUUAAUUCGAUGCAACGCGAAGAACCUUACCAGGGCUUGACAUGUCCGGAACUCUGGGGAAACUCGGAGGUGCCUUCGGGAGCCGGAACACAGGUGGUGCAUGGCUGUCGUCAGCUCGUGUCGUGAGAUGUUGGGUUAAGUCCCGCAACGGGCGCAACCCUCGUUCUUAGUUGCCAGCAUUAAGUUGGGCACUUUAGGAAGACUGCCGGUGACAAACCGGAGGAAGGUGGGGAUGACGUCAAGUCAUCAUGCCCCAUACGUCCUGGGCUACACACGUACUACAAUGGGAAGGACAAAGGGCAGCCACUUCGCGAGGAGGAGCUAAUCCCAGAAACCUUGCCUCAGUUCAGAUUGCGGGCUGCAACUCGCCUGCAUGAAGGAGGAAUCGCUAGUAAUCGCAGGUCAGCAUACUGCGGUGAAUCCGUUCCCGGGCCUUGUACACACCGCCCGUCACACCAUGGAAGUUAGCCAUGCCCGAAGUCAUUACUCUAACUGUUCGCAGAGGAGGGUGCCGAAGGCAGGGCUGAUGACUGGGGUGAAGUCGUAACAAGGUAACCG